rnacentral:rRNA from 1 species
CUACGGGUUGCACCAGCUAAGAAUCUUCCGCAAUGGACGAAAGUCUGACGGAGCGACGCCGCGUGGGGGAAGAAGGCGGUGACGUUGUAAACCCCUUUUCUGCGUGAGGAAUAAGCAUAGGAGGGAAUGCCUAUGUGAUGACGGUAGCGCAGGAAUAAGCCCCGGCUAAUUACGUGCCAGCAGCCGCGGUAACACGUAUGGGGCGAGCGUUGUUCGGAAUUAUUGGGCGUAAAGGGCGCGCAGGCGGACCAACAAGUCUGGUGUGAAAGACCGCAGCUCAACUGCGGGGACGCGCUGGAAACUGUUGAACUUGAGUACCGGAGGGGAAGCUGGAAUUCCUGGUGUAGGGGUGAAAUCUGUAGAUAUCAGGAAGAACAUCGGUGGCGAAGGCGAGCUUCUGGCCGUGUACUGACGCUGAGGCGCGAAAGCGUGGGGAGCGAACAGGAUUAGAUACCCGUGUAGUC